UGACCUAGCGGCGGACGGGUGAGUAAUGCUUAGGAAUCUGCCUAUUAGUGGGGGACAACAUCUCGAAAGGGAUGCUAAUACCGCAUACGUCCUACGGGAGAAAGCAGGGGACCUUCGGGCCUUGCGCUAAUAGAUGAGCCUAAGUCGGAUUAGCUAGUUGGUGGGGUAAAGGCCUACCAAGGCGACGAUCUGUAGCGGGUCUGAGAGGAUGAUCCGCCACACUGGGACUGAGACACGGCCCAGACUCCUACGGGAGGCAGCAGUGGGGAAUAUUGGACAAUGGGGGGAACCCUGAUCCAGCCAUGCCGCGUGUGUGAAGAAGGCCUUUUGGUUGUAAAGCACUUUAAGCGAGGAGGAGGCUACCGAGAUUAAUACUCUUGGAUAGUGGACGUUACUCGCAGAAUAAGCACCGGCUAACUCUGUGCCAGCAGCCGCGGUAAUACAGAGGGUGCAAGCGUUAAUCGGAUUUACUGGGCGUAAAGCGCGCGUAGGUGGCCAAUUAAGUCAAA
rnacentral:rRNA from 1 species